rnacentral:rRNA from 1 species
AUUGAACGCUGGCGGCAUGCUUUACACAUGCAAGUCGGACGGCAGCACAGAGAAGCUUGCUUCUUGGGUGGCGAGUGGCGAACGGGUGAGUAAUAUAUCGGAACGUACCGAGUAAUGGGGGAUAACUAAUCGAAAGAUUAGCUAAUACCGCAUAUUCUCUGAGGAGGAAAGCAGGGGACCUUCGGGCCUUGCGUUAUUCGAGCGGCCGAUAUCUGAUUAGCUAGUUGGUGGGGUAAAGGCCUACCAAGGCGACGAUCAGUAGCGGUUCUGAGAGGAUGAUCCGCCACACUGGGACUGAGACACGGCCCAGACUCCUACGGGAGGCAGCAGUGGGGAAUUUUGGACAAUGGGCGCAAGCCUGAUCCAGCCAUGCCGCGUGUCUGAAGAAGGCCUUCGGGUUGUAAAGGACUUUUGUCAGGGAAGAAAAGGCUGUUGCUAAUAUCGACAGCUGAUGACGGUACCUGAAGAAUAAGCACCGGCUAACUACGUG